rnacentral:rRNA from 1 species
AACGAACGCUGGCGGCAGGCUUAACACAUGCAAGUCGAACGGUUGUAGCAAUACAGCAGUGGCAGACGGGUGAGUAACACGUGGGAACUUUCCUAGGGGUACGGAACAACUCAGGGAAACUUGAGCUAAUACCGUAUACGUCCGUGAGGAGAAAGAUUUAUCGCCCUUAGACGGGCCCGCGUCGGAUUAGCUAGUUGGUGGGGUAACGGCCUACCAAGGCGACGAUCCGUAGCUGAUCUUAGAGGAUGAUCAGCCACACUGGGACUGAGACACGGCCCAGACUCCUACGGGAGGCAGCAGUGGGGAAUCUUGGACAAUGGGCGCAAGCCUGAUCCAGCCAUGCCGCGUGAGUGAAGAAGGUCUUCGGAUUGUAAAGCUCUUUUGCCAGGGACGAUAAUGACGGUACCUGGAGAAUAAGCCCCGGCAAACUUCGUGCCAGCAGCCGCGGUAAU